GAUCAUGGCUCAGGACGAACGCUGGCGGCGUGCCUAACACAUGCAAGUCGAACGGAGAUAAACGCUGAUGAUUUAGCUUGCUAUUGAUUCUUGUUUAUCUUAGUGGCGGACGGGUGAGUAACGCGUGAGCAACCUGCCUUUCAGAGGGGGAUAACGUCUUGAAAAGGACGCUAAUACCGCAUGAGAUCGUAGUUCCACAUGGAAUAGCGACCAAAGGAGCAAUCCGCUGAAAGA
rnacentral:rRNA from 1 species